UAUAUAUAUAUAUAUGUAAACUUUAUAAUAAAUGUUGUAAUAAAUGUUUUUGAAUUGAUUUAUGCAUAUCAUGCCAUGAUUAAAUAGCAUUUAAGAAAUGUUGUAUUUGUGGAGCCAAAAAUAAUCAAGAAAAAUAUGAAGGCAACACGUGGAUUUUUGGGUGAAAAAGACAAGAUUACCCUCGAGGCACGUCAGAACCCCUACGUGCGAGCAGCAGACAAUCAUCACUCAAUCAAGGUCAAAAGUGAUCAAAAUAGGUAUUUAUUCAAAACCUAUUUCAUCAACCUUCAUCAAAUCUUCCCCACGAGGUAACUUCCAAAUUAUAUUAAUUAGCUAAUUAAUUGAUUCAUUACUCAAUUAAUUCAUUAAUUAGGUAAUUGAUGGUGUUUAACACCCAAAAAACCACUAAAGUAGCCGGUUCCCAUUUCUCCUAAAGGCGCCAGCCACACCUCUAUAAAUACCACCCCAUUUUCUCCAAAAACCUAAGUUGAAUCCUCUUGCAAAAUUCUCUAAAUUCUCCAAACACUUUUCCCUCAAGUGUUAAAAGUUUUUGCAGGUGCAUUUUCAUCCAAGAACAAGAAAGAUGAAAUUUGCAUCCACAAAUUGGUGCUUUCAUUGAGAGUCUUGAUCAAACGCUCGUAUAAAACUCUCGCAUUCAAGGUUUUUCGUUUUCUUGUUCACUUGUAGAUUGUUCAUACGUUCUUAUUCUUGGAAUUUUUAUUUUUAAAAAUUCUUCAAUAAAUCGUAAAAGAAAAGUACAAUGGCAAGAGAUUCGAAAACCUCGACGAACGAAAAUUCUAUCGUACAAGGAUUAGGACCACGACAAUCUACGAGGCUUAACACAACGAUGAGUGGAGCGGCUCUACCCCCAUGGGGCACCACCGUGGCAACCACCACGGCAGCCACCCUCGACAAGGCCCAUAGCGCCACAGUUAUAGCCUAA
rnacentral:lncRNA from 1 species